GUUAGUCUUUAUAGUGUAUGUUGAUCAUCAGUUGCCGGUUUUAACUCAAGCAUGAGAUAUCCGUGAGGGCAACCUGGAAUUACUUUUCGUGCCAAAAUAGAAAUCUGUUGCUUGUCCCGAGGAGGAGAAGAAGAGGAGGAGAAGAUGAGAAGAAAGAGAGCUGGAAGAGGUAAGUUGGGGAAAAGGAGGAGUAGUAGGAAAAGGAGGAAGGGGAAGCAGAUGAUCAGGAGAAGAGGAGGAAGGGGAAGCAGAGGAUGGGGAAAAGAGAAGGAAGGGGGAAGCAUCGGAUGAGGAGAAGGAGGAAGAAGAAGAGGAGGAGAAGGAGGAAGAAGAAGAGGAGAAGGAGGAAGAGGGGAAUUGGUGGAUAAGGAAGAGGAUUGGCGGAAGAGAAGGAGAAUUUUUACACAUCCAAUCAACUCUUCCGAUAAUUUAUUUUAAUUAACCAACUUUGCCGUAACUCUCUAACGUCAAAACGAUUGCAAUUACGAGUGAGUUAACAUUUUCGUAACUCUCUGUUGUUAAGAUUAGGAAGCGAGAGUUAAAUCUGAUUACUUUUUUAAAGUACAACAAGGCUAAAAGAAUAAAGAGUUGAUUUUUCCAACGUAAUGAAGGAGACUUGCAUGACUUCAAACAAGCAAGUACUGUUAACGUUCUCGAUUUUUUACAUUUUGAUGGAAGAGGGUUUCGGCAAUUCAACUCUCCCAUGUUGGUUGAAAGAUAACAUUGGGUGAUUUAAGAAAAUGGGUGUGGUCGUUGGAAAAAUUGGGCGUGCUUCGUAC